GAUGAACGCUGGCGGCGUGCCUAACACAUGCAAGUCGAACGGAGUUAUGAUGUGAGCGGGAAGUGCUUGCACUUAACAAUCUUUUCAUAACUUAGUGGCGGACGGGUGAGUAACGCGUGGGUAACCUGCCCUGUACUGGGGGACAACAGUUGGAAACGACUGCUAAUACCGCAUAAGCGCACGGGAUCGCAUGAUCUAGUGUGAAAAACUCCGGUGGUACAGGAUGGACCCGCGUCUGAUUAGCUGGUUGGUGAGGUAACGGCCCACCAAGGCAACGAUCAGGGGCCGGCCGGGGAGGGUGAACGGCCACAUUGGGACUGAGACACGGCCCCAACUCCUACGGGAGGCAGCAAUGGGGAAUAUUGCACAAUGGGGGAAACCCUGAUGCAGCGACGCCGCGUGAGUGAAGAAGUAUUUCGGUAUGUAAAGCUCUAUCAGCAGGGACGAUAAUGACGGUACCUGAGGAGGAAGCCACGGCUAACUACGUGCCAGCAGCCGCCGCAGUAA
rnacentral:rRNA from 1 species